UACUUGUGAGGCAGUGCUGCGAUGUGCUCCUGGGAUACCCGACAGAUGUUUUUCGGAGCCGGCACCAAACUCCUCGUGGAACCACAAAGCCAGCCUCCUGCCAAACCAUCCGUUUUCAUCAUGCGAAAUGGGACGACGGUUGCUUGUCUGGUGAAGGAUUUCUAUCCUAAGGAUAUAGACAUAAAACUCGAAUCAACCAAGAAACUAGAAGAAUUUGACCCUGCUAUUGUCGUCUCCCCCAGUGGGAAAUACAGUGCUGUCAAGCUUGGUCGGUAUGAAGAUCCAAAUUCGGUGACCUGUUCGGUUGAACACAACAGUGAAGUCGUGAGCUCCACUAACUUUGAACCAAGGACAAAUUCUUCAGGUACCGUAAAACCAAAACCAACGGAAACUGAAAACAUAAAGCUAACUCCAAAGAGCAUCAGUGAGCCCAAAGCCACAGUUCAUCACAGUUCACAGUUCACAGCCGGGAAUGUAAACAUGCUGUCCCUCACAGUGCUGGGGCUCCGGAUGGUGUUUGCCAAGAGUCUUGCCAUCAAUUUUCUCUUGACUGCCAAGUUAUUUUUCUUUUAAGGCUGACUGGCUUCAGAAGGCUGCCUUAUGAAACUCCCACAUUAUGUCUUCACAAAAGCCUACAGAGGAGCUGUCUCCUAGACUUCUGGCUUCUCGGUGAUUCAAGGUGACCGAUCCCAGUCUUGCUUAAGUGGCUGCUACCCAAACCAUCAAAGCAACAAACCCAGCUCAUUUUCCAGCUUUGUGGAAAGACACAAGUCCUAGGGAGUAGGGCGUUAUGGUCCUAACUGCUCUAUCUGCUGCUUUAUAAAGGGAUAUAGGACUCAUUUUCUUUAUUAUUAUUUCUACAACAGAUACACUUUGAAAAUAGUGUUUUGUUCCCUUAACUUUCUUUGCCUUCAAAAGUAGAAAGUGGGAGCCAACAGAUUCCCAGCUCCAUACUCCCCGAGGAAAACAGACCCUGGGGGUUGGAGAGAAGAUGCCCUUCACCUAACAAGAAUGGCUCUGUUCAGCCCAGCACUAGGUUUGCCUCAAGCUGGCAUUCUCAUCCACAAAAGCACUUUCUGCUUUCCUUAGUACUUUACAAACAAAAUUACAUUUGACUUCUCAUGCAGCCAAUGGGGUUUCUAAAGCCUCAUCUAAAUACUCUCCAAGCUAUUAGCAAAGAUCAGGGUAAAACACAGAGAAAAUUACUUUUAUCAAUUGACUUCACAAACAUGAAUUGACUCCUUCUAAGUUCCAGGCACCGAGCUGAGGGUGUAAAGAUGAACGAGAGGUGGGCCUGCUUUCAAGCGACUUACUGUGCAAGCACUUUUGGAGGGAGGGAGAGGAAUGAGACUCCUAGAUUUGGGCUGUAAAAAGAGUAUCUUUACUGGGUUUUGCCUGCCAAUAUAUGCACAGGGAAUUUGAUUUCAGUGGAUGCUGACUCUUGCCUGCCCCUUGUUGUUGAUGGUUUUCUGCCAUUCUCAGUGUUGUCUCUGUUGCAUUUAUU